CAAAACAAAUCGUCAACGACCGAACCGACCGUAGCCCAAAGACGAAAACUAAUCGUUUGUGAGCUAAGCGCACGAGAAAUGUUCGGUCCAAAUUUCCGUCGUCCGUUUCGACCGCACCGUCAUCUGCGAAAUUCCCAGACUGCUGCAGUAAUGAUAUAAUAUUUUUCGGAAUGAAUAAAUUUUGAACACAGCCGGCAAACGUAAACCCUACGUUAUAAUAAUAUUAUAUUACUAUCCAUACUAGAGAUAAUUUCCGGAAUUCAAAUAACCGUGGAGUGUCUAUGGAAUAUCAUUUUACAAAUGUC